CAAAGAAAUCAUGGCGGAGUGUUUACAUUUGGCAGCCCAAAGACUGUUGGAUUACGGAACCCCCCCAAACCCAAGCGGCCCCCCCCGGCCCCCCGCAGUAGCGCCUUGCCGGAGCCCGCCCGCCGACAUCUCGCCGCGGCCCGGAGUCUGAACCAGCUGCUUGGAAGAGAUCUUUCAGAUGAAUGACUAGCUGUGAAUUUCUGAGACUGUUGAUAAGAACAGAAGAAGGAACAGAUGGUGGCACCAUCCUGCCUCAGCGCCAAACACUGCCCUCGAGUUGUACAUGGCGCAAAAAGCAUCCCCGUGUGGAGAAGCAGAUAGUGCUCCUGCAAAGUAUGUCCAGGACUCACUGAAGGCAAAACCAAAUCACAUCCUGAAUAAACAACACAAGGGACCAGUGCUAGAGAGGAAGGCUCUGCAGGGGGAGCGGAUGGAGUGCUGUCUGGAGCAAAUCAGUGAGAUCCCCAGCGGAGGAUCCCUCGUGACAGCCAGCGCUACUGCCAGGACCUGACACAGAGCCGGGGGCUGCCUGCGGGGGCCGAGAUGUAGCAGAGUGAGCACAGAGUCUGGGGUGCUCGUAUUGGCAGAUCAGCGUGGAGGAUUUUGUGGUGGAUUUCUAUGGCUGAGGGACAACUGCCUGUGAAUUUCCAGUGCCAAAGUCAGCCUAGAGAUGCUUCAGGCCCUCUUUGCACGUGCUUUUCAACCCAGUCAGGACAAGAUGCUUCAAGACGCUCUGAGGUCACUUCGGUCUGAAACAGCUGGAAAUAUGAAAGCUGUCCAUGUGUGCCAUUACCAAGGGAAUCAUCAAGUCAUGUAACCUUGCUCACUCUCGUGGAAAGCCUGAGGAGCUCCAGGAGGAGUUUAAAGAAGAGAUCUUCCUCUCCUGUUCAGGUUCACCUCAGCCUGGUGGGGCUCUGUUGGACAGCAGAGAGCAGCAAGUGGGCCUGGGCCGCGUACACACCUGCCCGGCCCUCAACCGAGGAAGUUCAGGACCAGACUUCGAUUUCAGUCUGAAGUACUCUGAUUGGGCUCCCGGAUGCUCAGUGGAGUGAAAGUGAACAUUUUGGAAAGUGGUAUAAAACACUGGCUGCCACAAAUUUCAUGUUAAAAAAAAGGAAGAUGAGAAGGCUGUGGUUUGGGGGCUGCUAGAGAGCAGACCGCACGCUUGUAACCGUGGGGCUGCUGAAGUCGCUGCAAGGAUAGUGGGGCACGCAUGCAUUUGUGGAUAAUUCUGGCUGCUAAUUGCUCAUGAAAUUUCAGGUUGCAAGUGAAGAAGGAAAUCUUCCAGGUGGCUGCAUCGUGAAAAACAGGUGCUGCAGUGAUCGCUUCCCAUCCAAACAUGCCGCGCUGCUCGACGGGACUGGCCAGGAGCCCGAGAUGCAAUGAGUGCUCUUUAGUGCCACACCAAGGUGCGUUCACUCCGGCAUGUGAUACUGCCAUGUCCCACAUGCUGUCCCCGGUGCCCCAUCGCUCCUUCUGCCGGGGCGAUCGAGCCCGGCGUCUUUACUGCAUAAACUUCAAGAAGGUUAAGUUUUAAAAUAACCGUUCCUGAGGCUGUAAGUAAACCGAUGUGAAAGAAAAAAAGUGCUGUAAUUGACUUGUGAUAACCUCAUUGAAAAUGCUGGAUGCUUUUUUUUCUCUCUCAUCUCACCAUAAAUGUUUUCUAACAUUAAUACUGGUGACCUCUUGCUUCUUUUGCUUUUCUUUAAUGGGAUGUGGCUUGCCUAUUAUAAGGCUAUGCAUCGGAGCUGCAAAACAGUUGCUUUAUUUAAAAAAAAAAGGGGGGGGGGGGGCUCUGAUUACUCAGGUGUCGAUACAGAAAAAUGAGAUGUUGUGCCAGAUGGCUGCAUUUGUGAAGCAGAGCGUAGUCAGAAGGAAAGUGGAAGGAGACAAGGCAACUGUACAUCCGAAGUGUGAAAACAUGAUCAAAAUACCUUCAGCCUUGUUUCACCAACACUGGAUUAGGAGGCAACUGUGGUGAGAUGCAAGCAAAGAAAAGCACGAGGGGAUACUGUCUGGAAAACAAAAAUGUCUUUCAGUAAUGAACUGCUUGACUUCCUCCAGCAAAAGCUUAGAAGUUUAAAAAAAAUCAAGAGACUUUGUUAUUAAAUGGAAGGAGUGUGAACCAGUAAGCCUCAGAGCACUGUAUCUAGUGUCACUGCAAAAUGCCACGUGCGGUAGAGUAAAAUAUUGAUAGCAGGCUGUGUCACGGGCUUAGUUAGCAUUAUAGCAGGAUACGCUGCUGCCAAUCAUCUGUAAGUAACCGCUCUCUCGGUGACACAGACAGGCAACAGCUUCGUGCCACGGCUGCAGAUGUCCAGGAAGAGUUGUCUCGUAAUGCGCGGGAGAGGCGUUACGUCCUACAUCGGGCGCAUUCACGUAGUUUGCUCCUUGCUUUGCCCACGCAAGCGAUACCCAGGAGCCCGCCCGUCGGUGCUCUGGGUUAGGGUCUGCUCGCAGAGUUAGGGUGGUGGGCUUGUCGUAACAGUGCUGGCUGGUUUGUACCUCACACUCCUCUCAUUGAGAAGCUUUAGUCACCUUUUGAUGCCAGGGUAAAAGCUGAGCUCUUGGCUGGCCCACGGGUGGGUGCUGCUUUACACCUUUAGAUACUGGAACGGAUCCUGAGUACUUCCAGCUUUGCUGCCAUGCCGCAGCUUUUGGCUGUUACAUUAUUUUGAAUAAUUUGUUUGAUCUGAGAUCAUAAAUCCAAAUCUUUUUUUUUUUUUUCCAUGCUUAAGCUGGCUCUGCUCAAACUGCUUUGUAGCUCCACACUCCUCCCUCCUCUGCGGUGUCCUAGGGGAAAAGGAGGACGUGGGCACAGGAGAGGCCAGUCUGAAAGCUUGGCCUCUGGUUCCCUCGGUUAUAGCUUGGUUUACAAACUUUGUGGCACUUGGGUUUCAUCACGAGAGUCUGAAAUCUUAGUUUUCUUAGAUCAGUUUGAUGAGAACAUCACAAGGAAAAUCUGUGUUAAUUUUCACCCAGACCAUUCCCAGACACACAGCUUUCUCACCCUCAACCCCCAAAAUGACUUCGACUUUUUGCAGGUACUUUCUAGCAAUGAAUUUCAUCCAAAUAUAUUGAAGGUAGGUUACGUUAGUAACGGCA